UUGAAGAGUUUGAUCAUGGCUCAGAUUGAACGCUGGCGGCAGGCCUAACACAUGCAAGUCGAGCGGUAACACAGGGAGCUUGCUCCCGGGUGACGAGCGGCGGACGGGUGAGUAAUGUCUGGGAAACUGCCUGAUGGAGGGGGAUAACUACUGGAAACGGUAGCUAAUACCGCAUAACGUCGCAAGACCAAAGAGGGGGACCUUCGGGCCUCUUGCCAUCAGAUGUGCCCAGAUGGGAUUAGCUAGUAGGUGGGGUAAUGGCUCACCUAGGCGACGAUCCCUAGCUGGUCUGAGAGGAUGACCAGCCACACUGGAACUGAGACACGGUCCAGACUCCUACGGGAGGCAGCAGUGGGGAAUAUUGCACAAUGGGCGCAAGCCUGAUGCAGCCAUGCCGCGUGUAUGAAGAAGGCCUUCGGGUUGUAAAGUACUUUCAGCGGGGAGGAAGGCGUUGAGGUUAAUAACCUCAGCGAUUGACGUUACCCGCAGAAGAAGCACCGGCUAACUCCGUGCCAGCAGCCGCGGUAAUACGGAGGGUGCAAGCGUUAAUCGGAAUUACUGGGCGUAAAGCGCACGCAGGCGGUCUGUCAAGUCGGAUGUGAAAUCCCCGGGCUCAACCUGGGAACUGCAUUCGAAACUGGCAGGCUAGAGUCUUGUAGAGGGGGGUAGAAUUCCAGGUGUAGCGGUGAAAUGCGUAGAGAUCUGGAGGAAUACCGGUGGCGAAGGCGGCCCCCUGGACAAAGACUGACGCUCAGGUGCGAAAGCGUGGGGAGCAAACAGGAUUAGAUACCCUGGUAGUCCACGCCGUAAACGAUGUCGACUUGGAGGUUGUGCCCUUGAGGCGUGGCUUCCGGAGCUAACGCGUUAAGUCGACCGCCUGGGGAGUACGGCCGCAAGGUUAAAACUCAAAUGAAUUGACGGGGGCCCGCACAAGCGGUGGAGCAUGUGGUUUAAUUCGAUGCAACGCGAAGAACCUUACCUACUCUUGACAUCCAGAGAACUUUCCAGAGAUGGAUUGGUGCCUUCGGGAACUCUGAGACAGGUGCUGCAUGGCUGUCGUCAGCUCGUGUUGUGAAAUGUUGGGUUAAGUCCCGCAACGAGCGCAACCCUUAUCCUUUGUUGCCAGCGGUCCGGCCGGGAACUCAAAGGAGACUGCCAGUGAUAAACUGGAGGAAGGUGGGGAUGACGUCAAGUCAUCAUGGCCCUUACGAGUAGGGCUACACACGUGCUACAAUGGCGCAUACAAAGAGAAGCGACCUCGCGAGAGCAAGCGGACCUCAUAAAGUGCGUCGUAGUCCGGAUUGGAGUCUGCAACUCGACUCCAUGAAGUCGGAAUCGCUAGUAAUCGUAGAUCAGAAUGCUACGGUGAAUACGUUCCCGGGCCUUGUACACACCGCCCGUCACACCAUGGGAGUGGGUUGCAAAAGAAGUAGGUAGCUUAACCUUCGGGAGGGCGCUUACCACUUUGUGAUUCAUGACUGGGGUGAAGUCGUAACAAGGUAACCGUAGGGGAACCUGCGGUUGGAUCACCUCCUU
rnacentral:rRNA from 1 species